GAUGAAGAACGUAGCGAAUUGCGAUAAGUAAUGUGAAUUGCAGAAUUCAGUGAAUCAUCGAAUCUUUGAACGCACCUUGCGCUCCUUGGUAUUCCGAGGAGCAUGCCUGUUUGAGUGUCAUUAAUAUAUCAACCUUCUCUUUUUUGAGUUGUUUGGAUGUGGGGGUUUGCUGGCCUCUUAAAUGAUUCAGCUCCCCUGAAAUGCAUUAGCAGAACAACCUGUUCAUUGGCGUGAUAAUUAUCUAUGCUAUUGAAUGUGAGGGCAGUUCAGCUUUCUAACCGUCCUUGGACAAUUCAUCAUUAAUGUGACCUCAAAUCAGGUAGGACUACCCGCUGAACUUAAGCAUAUCAAUAAGCGGAGGA
rnacentral:misc_RNA from 1 species